rnacentral:rRNA from 1 species
AGAGUUUGAUCAUGGCUCAGAUUGAACGCUGGCGGCAGGCCUAACACAUGCAAGUCGAACGGUAACAGGAAGCAGCUUGCUGCUUCGCUGACGAGUGGCGGACGGGUGAGUAAUGUCUGGGAAACUGCCUGAUGGAGGGGGAUAACUACUGGAAACGGUGGCUAAUACCGCAUAACGUCGCAAGACCAAAGAGGGGGACCUUCGGGCCUCUUGCCAUCAGAUGUGCCCAGAUGGGAUUAGCUUGUUGGUGAGGUAACGGCUCACCAAGGCGACGAUCCCUAGC